UACGUAGGGUGCGAGCGUUGUCCGGAAUUACUGGGCGUAAAGGGUUCGUAGGCGGUUUGUCGCGUCGUUCGUGAAAACUUGGGGCUUAACUCCAAGCGUGCGGGCGAUACGGGCAGACUUGAGUACUACGGGGGAGACUGGAAUUCCUGGUGUAGCGGUGAAAUGCGCAGAUAUCAGGAGGAACACCGGUGGCGAAGGCGGGUCUCUGGGUAGUAACUGACGCUGAGGAACGAAAGCGUGGGUAGCGAACAGG
rnacentral:rRNA from 1 species